AGCUGACGUGUCCCGAAUAGGACGAAACGCGCGUCCU
rnacentral:hammerhead_ribozyme from 1 species